rnacentral:rRNA from 1 species
AGAGCGAACGCUGGCGGCGUGCUUAACACAUGCAAGUCGAACGCGCAGCAUUCUGUAGCAAUACAGGGUGUGGGCGCGUGGCGAACGGGUGCGUAACACGUGGAUAACCUUCCUUCAGGUGGGGAAUAACCCAGUGAAAAUUGGGCUAAUACCGCAUAACAAAACGAUGAGACAUCUUGUUGCUUUCAAAGGCGCAAGUCGCCAGAAGAGGGAUCCGCGGCCGAUUAGCUUGUUGGCGAGGUAAUGGCUCACCAAGGCAAUGAUCGGUAGCCGGACUGAGAGGUUGGCCGGCCACACUGGAACUGAGACACGGUCCAGACUCCUACGGGAGGCAGCAGUGGGGAAUCUUGCACAAUGGGCGAAAGCCUGAUGCAGCAACGCCGCGUGGGGGAUGAAGCUUCUCGGAGUGUAACCCCUUUCGACCGGAAGAAAGCCCGCAAGGUUUGACGGUACGGGUAGUAAGAGCCCCGGCUAACUACGCGCCAGCAGCCGCGGUAAU